UAAGUGCUGAAAGCAUCUAAGCACGAAACUUGCCCCGAGAUGAGUUCUCCCUGACUCCUUGAGGGUCCUGAAGGAACGUUGAAGACGACGACGUUGAUAGGCCGGGUGUGUAAGCGCAGCGAUGCGUUGAGCUAACCGGUACUAAUGAACCGUGAGGCUUAACCUUACAACGCCGAAG
rnacentral:rRNA from 1 species